rnacentral:lncRNA from 1 species
CGAGGGGGAAAGACCGGACCGCUCCGACCCACCCCCUCCCUACCCCCACCUCCCACCUUAAAGCACCUUAUACCACGGAAGGCUCUCAGCCUCUUCUUUCCUCUGCGAACGCGCUGAGCAGCGAUUGAAAACGUUUUGGUCCUCUGCAGGUUUGAACAGGGCUAGCAGGUCUCUCUCCGGAUUUCUAGGGCUAUGGGGGCGCAUUCUGGGGUCUCUGCGCAAGACCAGCUCUCAGCUCUCUCUCCUUUCCUCGGACUCUGGAGCGGGAGCGGGCCUUUCCCUCGGGUCGACCACGCCGUAGGGGACGCCGUGAAAAGAGCCGUCGCGCCCGCUGCCUCCUGCCCGCUGCGCAGAGGGCUCCGCCCGUAGAGGUCAACUUCCCUCACCCUUUUCUCUCUCCUGCUUGCCCUCCCUCCGCCCGGCCCAGGCGCUUCCAGCCCCAGACUGUGGCCACUGGCUGAGGAGUGCGAGUCGGCUGCGCUGCCCUGAGCCUAAUCCCUCUUCCGGGCCCAGACCCGAGGUCCGCGCUCCUGGGCAGUGGGGAAGCUUUAGUGAGCAGGCUUUUCUCUCCGCAGCAAACUUGUAGCCAGACCAGAUGGGCCGCCCAGCUCUCUCGGGACUAGGCAGGUGCGGAUGAGUUAAUUUUUCCGCAUUACAAAGAAAGAUGACCCAGCCCGCCCUUGGACUCUCUUUUCCCAAAAUCUCCCAACCAAACCCGCGGUAACGUUAUCAAAGGACACAGAGCCCAGGCAUAUCUGUGUGUUUAUCUUACAGGCACACACGCAUGGUUUUCUCUUUUAUAUGCUAGAUUUCAUCCCUGACAGCAGAAAAUGAUUGGCAAUGGUUAUGACGGAGAACAUGCAAUAGCGUGGUCCUUAAAAACCUGCCAUUCCUUACAAGUGCCUUAGAAAGGAUUCAGGGCGAACCAACUGGGUUAAUUGCAUUCAGUAAAAUAACACGAUUACAAAAUUAAAAAAAAAAAA